UACGGAGGGGGUUAGCGUUGUUCGGAAUGACUGGGCGUAAAGCGCGCGUAGGCGGAUCGGAAAGUUGGGGGUGAAAUCCCGGGGCUCAACCCCGGAAUGGCCUUCAAGACUCCUGGUCUUGAGUUCGAGAGAGGUGAGUGGAAUUCCGAGUGUAGAGGUGAAAUUCGUAGAUAUUCGGAGGAACACCAGUGGCGAAGGCGGCUCACUGGCUCGACACUGACGCUGAGGUGCGAAAGCGUGGGGAGCAAACGGG
rnacentral:rRNA from 1 species